CGAAACCAGGUGAUCUACCCAUGUCCAGGAUGAAGGUAAGGUAAUACUUACUGGAGGUCCGAACCCACGCACGUUGAAAAGUGCGGGGAUGAGGUGUGGGUAGCGGAGAAAUUCCAAUCGAACUUGGAGAUAGCUGGUUCUCUCCGAAAUAGCUUUAGGGCUAGCCUCGAGGUAAAGAGUCAUGGAGGUAGAGCACUGUUUGGACUAGGGGCCCUUCUCGGGUUACCGAAUUCAGAUAAACUCCGAAUGCCAUGUACUUAUACUCGGGAGUCAGACUGCGAGUGAUAAGAUCCGUAGUCGAAAGGGAAACAGCCCAGACCACCAGUUAAGGUCCCCAAAUAUAUGUUAAGUGGAAAAGGAUGUGGGGUUGCUUAGACAACCAGGAUGUUGGCUUAGAAGCAGCCACCAUUGAAAGAGUGCGUAAUAGCUCACUGGUCGAGUGACCCCGCGCCGAAAAUGUACCGGGGCUAAACAUAUUACCGAAACUGUGGAUGAACCUCUUCGGAGGUUCGUGGUAGGAGAGCGUUCUAAGGGCGGUGAAGUCAGACCGGAAGGACUGGUGGAGCGCUUAGAAGUGAGAAUGCCGGUAUGAGUAGCGAAAGAAGGGUGAGAAUCCCUUCCACCGAAUAUCUAAGGUUUCCUGAGGAAGGCUCGUCCGCUCAGGGUUAGUCGGGACCUAAGCCGAGGCCGAUAGGCGUAGGCGAUGGACAACAGGUAGAGAUUCCUGUACCAGUGCUAAUUGUUUAACCGAUGGGGUGACACAGAAGGAUAGGGAAUCGCACGAAUGGAAAUGUGCGUCCAAGCAGUGAGUGUGAGAAGUAGGCAAAUCCGCUUCUCGCGAAGCAUGAGCUGUGAUGGGGAAGGAAAUUAAGUACGGAAGUUCCUGAUUUCACGCUGUCAAGAAAAGCCUCUAGGAAGAGUAGUACUGCCCGUACCGCAAACCGACACAGGUAGAUGAGGAGAGAAUCCUAAGGUGAGCGAGAGAACUCUCGUUAAGGAACUCGGCAAAAUGACCCCGUAACUUCGGGAGAAGGGGUGCUCUAUUAGGGUGCAAGCCCGAGAGAGCCGCAGUGAAUAGGCCCAGGCGACUGUUUAGCAAAAACACAGGUCUCUGCAAAACCGUAAGGUGACGUAUAGGGGCUGACGCCUGCCCGGUGCUGGAAGGUUAAGAGGAGUGCUUAGCUUCGGCGAAGGUACGAAUUGAAGCCCCAGUAAACGGCGGCCGUAACUAUAACGGUCCUAAGGUAGCGAAAUUCCUUGUCGGGUAAGUUCCGACCCGCACGAAAGGCGCAACGAUCUGGGCACUGUCUCAACGAGAGACUCGGUGAAAUUAUAGUACCUGUGAAGAUGCAGGUUACCCGCGACAGGACGGAAAGACCCCGUGGAGCUUUACUGCAACCUGAUAUGGAAUGUUUGUACCGCUUGUACAGGAUAGGUAGGAGCCGAAGAGACGUGUGCGCUAGCAUACGAGGAGGCAAUGGUGGGAUACUACCCUGGC
rnacentral:rRNA from 1 species